rnacentral:rRNA from 1 species
AGUAAAAGUCGUAACAAGGUCUCCGUAGGUGAACCUGCGGAGGGAUCAUUACAAGUGACCCCGGUCUAACCACCGGGAUGUUCAUAACCCUUUGUUGUCCGACUCUGUUGCCUCCGGGGCGACCCUGCCUUCGGGCGGGGGCUCCGGGUGGACACUUCAAACUCCUGCGUAACUUUGCAGUCUGAGUAAACUUAAUUAAUAAAUUAAAACUUUUAACAACGGAUCUCUUGGUUCUGGCAUCGAUGAAGAACGCAGCGAAAUGCGAUAAGUAAUGUGAAUUGCAGAAUUCAGUGAAUCAUCGAAUCUUUGAACGCACAUUGCGCCCCCUGGUAUUCCGGGGGGCAUGCCUGUUCGAGCGUCAUUUCACCACUCAAGCCUCGCUUGGUAUUGGGCAACGCGGUCCGCCGCGUGCCUCAAAUCGACCGGCUGGGUCUUCUGUCCCCUAAGCGUUGUGGAAACUAUUCGCUAAAGGGUGCUCGGGAGGCUACGCCGUAAAACAAACCCAUUUCUAAGGUUGACCUCGGAUCAGGUAGGGAUACCCGCUGAACUUAAGCAUAUCAAUAAGCGGAGGAAAAGAAACCAACAGGGAUUGCCUCAGUAACG